CUAAGACUGGAUAGGAAAUAAAAAGGCAUCUUUUUAUUUUUAAAAGACCUUUUUCGAAAGGUAUGCUUAAAGAGGGGCUUGCGCCAUAUUAGUUAGUUGGUAGGGUAAAAGCCUACCAAGACGAUGAUAUGUAGCUGGACUGAGAGGUUGAACGGCCACAUUGGGACUGAGACACGGCCCAAACUCCCACGGGAGGCAGCAGUAGGGAAUUUUCGGCAAUGGAGGAAACUCUGACCGAGCAACGUCGCGUGAACGAUGAAGUAUUUCGGUAUGUAAAGUUCUUUUAUUGAAGAAGAAAAAAUAGUGGAAAAACUAUCUUGACGCUAUUCAAUGAAUAAGCCCUGGCUAAUUAUGUGCCAGCAGCCGCGGUAAUACAUAAAGGGCGAGCGUUAUCCGGAAUUAUUGGGCGUAAAGGGUGCGUAGGCGGUUUGUUAAGUCUUUAGUUUAAUCUCAGUGCUUAACGCUGUUCUGCUAGAGAAACUGACUUACUAGAGUGAGAUAGAGGCAAGUGGAAUUCCAUGUGUCAGCGGUAAAAUGCGUAAAUAUAUGGAGGAACACCAGAGGCGUAGGCGGCUUGCUGGGUCUUUACUGACGCUGAGGCACGAAAGCGUGGGGAGCAAACAGGAUUAGAUACCCUGGUAGUCCACGCCGUAAACGAUGAGUACUAAGUGUCGGGGAAACUCGGUACUGAAGUUAACACAUUAAGUACUCCGCCUGAGUAGUACGUACGCAAGUAUGAAACUUAAAGGAAUUGACGGGAUCCCGCACAAGCGGUGGAUCAUGUUGUUUAAUUCGAAGAUACACGAAAAACCUUACCAGGUCUUGACAUACUCUGCAAAGCUGUAGAAAUACAGUGGAGGUUAUCAGGGAUACAGGUGGUGCAUGGUUGUCGUCAGCUCGUGUCGUGAGAUGUUAGGUUAAGUCCUAGAACGAGCGCAACCCUUGUCGUUAGUUACCAGCACGUUAUGGUGGGCACUUUAACGAGACUGCCAAUGAAAUAUUGGAGGAAGGUGAGGAUUACGUCAAAUCAUCAUGCCCCUUAUGAUCUGGGCUACAAACGUGAUACAAUGGCUGUUACAAAGAGUAGCUGAAACGUGAGUUUUUGGCCAAUCUCAAAAAAACAGCCUCAGUUCGGAUUGAAGUCUGCAACUCGACUUCAUGAAGUUGGAAUCGCUAGUAAUCGCAAAUCAGCAUG
rnacentral:rRNA from 1 species